AGUCAAUAGAUACCCGGGUAGUCCACGCCGUAAACGAUGAGUACUAGGUGUAGGAGGUAUCGACUCCUUCUGUGCCGCAGUUAAACACAAUAAGUACUCCGCCUGGGAAGUACGGUCGCAAGAUUAAAACUCAAAGGAAUUGACGGGGGCCCGCACAAGCAGCGGAGCAUGUGGUUUAAUUCGAAGCAACGCGAAGAACCUUACCUAGACUUGACAUCUCCUGAAUAGUGUAGAGAUACAUGAAGCCCUUCGGGGUCAUGAAGACAGGUGGUGCAUGGUUGUCGUCAGCUCGUGUCGUGAGAUGUUGGGUUAAGUCCCGCAACGAGCGCAACCCGUUAUUACUAGUUGCUACCAUUAACGUUGAGCACUCUAGUGAGACUGCCC
rnacentral:rRNA from 1 species